rnacentral:misc_RNA from 1 species
UAUGUUUUCAAUGUAUUUGCAGGAAACAGGAGAAAAAGAUGUGAAAAAUCUUUAAUGAAUUAGCUCCUGUACGUGUACAAAUAAUGAGUAAAGAAUAAGUUCCCUAAUCACUACAAAUGCAUCUUCAUCAAUGCACUUUUCCUAUGUACACAAGUUCUCUAAUGAUUAAAAAACAAAAACAAAAACAAAAAAAGCAGCAGGUUAGAAGCCUAAUAUAUAUGAGAUGAUGGGUUUCCAUUUUCCAAUCAAAAGUAAUUAAUAAAAGAAAAUAAAGUUAACUAACGUGCAUGUUUAAUUAAUUUGUUAAUAAUUUUCCCUGUUUGGAAGCACAUUUUUAUCAUUUUUUCUUUUUCCAGCACAUCCAUAAAUAAAAACACACGCAUAUAUAUGAAGACUAAUCCACUAUUUGCCUUAUAUUAUAUGUUAAUUAAAAGAACAUAAUGAACAAGAAAUGACAUUAAAUUGACAUCCAAAGGGUCACCUCUUGAGAUUUUAAAUUCUCUCUGCAUGACCUUAACUUACUAAUACUAAUUUAUACAUAAUAUUGCAGUGCAGGUUACUGAUAACCCAUGUAGGAAACAAUCACUAGAUUGCUAGUUUAACAAUUUCAUGAUAACAAUUACUUGCUAAGUUGCAUUUUCUGAAUUAAUUAUAAUGAAUUAAAGAUUCUUUCAUCUCCUUCUUCCACCCUUCUAAUUCUGUAGAGAUGAGCAUAUUUCUACCCUAUUUUUGUCAUUAUACUGUUAUACAAACAAUAAUUCAGCAAGUCACAUUUUAGUUUUCCUUGUGUUGGUAGAGUUUCAAGAACUGCAAAUUACAACUAUAACAAGAACAAGAUGACACAUACCUUCUGGACCAGUGGAGGCAUCAG